rnacentral:rRNA from 1 species
AUUGAACGCUGGCGGCAGGCCUAACACAUGCAAGUCGAACGGUAACAGGAAGACGCUUGCUUCUUUGCUGACGAGUGGCGGACGGGUGAGUAAUGUCUGGGAAACUGCCUGAUGGAGGGGGAUAACUACUGGAAACGGUAGCUAAUACCGCAUAACGUCGCAAAACCAAAGAGGGGGACCUUCGGGCCUCUUGCCAUCGGAUGUGCCCAGAUGGGAUUAGCUAGUAGGUGGGGUAACGGCUCACCUAGGCGACGAUCCCUAGCUGGUCUGAGAGGAUGACCAGCCACACUGGAACUGAGACACGGUCCAGACUCCUACGGGAGGCAGCAGUGGGGAAUAUUGCACAAAGGGCGCAAGCCUGAUGCAGCCAUGCCGCGUGUAUGAAGAAGGCCUUCGGGUUGUAAAGUACUUUCAGCGGGGAGGAAGGGAGUAAAGUUAAUACCUUUGCUCAUUGACGUUACCCGCAGAAGAAGCACCGGCUAACUCCGUG